rnacentral:rRNA from 1 species
GAUGAACGCUGGCGGCGUGCCUAAUACAUGCAAGUCGAGCGAACAGACGAGGAGCUUGCUCCUCUGACGUUAGCGGCGGACGGGUGAGUAACACGUGGAUAACCUACCUAUAAGACUGGGAUAACUUCGGGAAACCGGAGCUAAUACCGGAUAAUAUAUUUAACCGCAUGGUUAAAUAGUUAAAGACGGUUUUGCUGUCACUUAUAGAUGGAUCCGCGCCGCAUUAGCUAGUUGGUAAGGUAACGGCUUACCAAGGCAACGAUGCGUAGCCGACCUGAGAGGGUGAUCGGCCACACUGGAACUGAGACACGGUCCAGACUCCUACGGGAGGCAGCAGUAGGGAAUCUUCCGCAAUGGGCGAAAGCUUGACGGAGCAACGCCGCGUGAGUGAUGAAGGUCUUCGGAUCGUAAAACUCUGUUAUUAGGGAAGAACAAAUGUGUAAGUAACUAUGCACGUCUUGAUGGUACCUAAUCAGAAAGCCACGGCUAACUACGUG